UGCGCAGGCGGUUAUGUAAGACAGAUGUGAAAUCCCCGGGCUCAACCUGGGAACUGCAUUAGUGACUGCAUAGCUGGAGUACGGCAGAGGGGGAUGGAAUUCCGCGUGUAGCAGUGAAAUGCGUAGAUAUGCGGAGGAACACCGAUGGCGAAGGCAAUCCCCUGGGCCUGUACUGACGCUCAUGCACGAAAGCGUGGGAGCAAACA
rnacentral:rRNA from 1 species